CGCUAAAAUUUUUUUAAUUUUUGUAUCACCAUAUUUUUAUUUAAAACUUAUUCUUUUCUCUCGCUUCUUCUGCCAUUACUAGCAUGAAAAAAUUUCCGGUCCGGCCGCAUCGGAGGAGUCUUUGGUUUUGGAAGGCCUUCGUCGCAGGGCUUGACGUAUGUGGCCGACAAAUUCGGCCUUUGGAGGACCCGGCCUGCCAUUUUGGACACAGCCAUAGUCUCCUCUCGUGCCCAGAAUCUCUCUGCCCACGUGCGCGCGCACACUAUUACCCUCGCGUGAGUAUUUUUUUUUUCUUCCUCCCCAGCUUCCUCUGCUGCUCGCUCGACAAUUACUUUUGGCAGAGGGUGGGCGGAUCCAGAGCCCAAUAAAGAGAGAGUUGCGACACUCCCGUUGACUUCCAUAGGAAGAAUGGAAUGCGGAACUCACGUGGUUCAUGGAGCCUCAAAUAGUUGCAAACACAGCGAGAGGCUCCAUUGAGCGCAGUUCAUUCUUGGUGUCUCUGAGGUAUUUUCUCCGGUAAGUUGACAAAAAAACAACAUUUUUGCCAUUGUGCGGCAUUAUCUGACUUUUCUGUACCACAGUGAUAUGUUGUAGUCAGUUUUAGUUUAUUAAUCGUGUUAAUUAAUUAGUUACGCAGUUAGCAUAACUGCAGCUGCAGCUAGCUCGUUGUUAGCAUGACGAGUAAUGAUGAGUUUAAACGGGACAAUUUCAGUCUGUUGAGUUCAGCUUUUAAAAUAUUCGGUACAUUUUACAUUCUGAAAGUUGAUAAUUUUAUAAAUUAAGUGGUGCUGACUGAACUAUAUUUUGUUCUGUGAGACUGACUUGGUUAAUUUACAUCAAGUUAUAUAUUUUUCUUCAGAGACAACAGCAUAGAUGGUGAUAGUAUUGUCAUUAAAGAUGAAUGUUAUUGUGAAAAUGAAUAAUUAUAUGAUAUUUUUCAGUUAAACCAGACCAGACUUACCUGCUGAAGCUUGUUACAACAUCACAAAGGAUCCAUGAUGUUCGGAGCUUCCUGAAAGAUGUACCCGGUCUUCUGAAAGCUGAAGAAGAAGCCUGAAGAAGCCUGUAGCACUGACAAAAGGCAGUGGAAGUUUUUUCUCACUGCAGGAUCCUUCCUGCUCGUUGGUUCUGGGCGAUAAAUAAACGUGGUUGGAACAGCAUCAGUCAUUAGUCUAACUUCUCUUUGUCUUUGCGAACUGUCCUGCCUCAAAAUGUGCCUGUAGAGUGAUUUAUUACUUCAUUUCCUCACAUUUCAUUAAGGCCUGGUGCAUUUGACAGUAAAACUGAUAAAAAUGUUUGAGUGUGCAGAUUACACUUACAGCAGUUUGCUGUUAUUAUGAUCUUUAUUGGUACAAAUAUAAUGACUUAACAAAGUAUUUUUACUAACAUUUAUAAUGUAAUUUUACACAUUUUAUAACACAAUGUUUUUUUUCACAAUUGAGACGCUUAUUUUGUGAUGUAAUAUGAUCUUAACUUGAAAUAUAUUUUUUUAAAAUAAGCAUUUUAAGUAAUGAAUUACUGUUUUAUAGUUGUCUGGCUAUAAGCACAUGUACUCAGUUAACAUGAAAAACCAAAAAUUAAAUAUAUAAUUGCUUCA